CCUUACUUUGGGAUAACUUCAGGAAACUGGGGCUAAUACCGGAUAGGAGCUCCUGCUGCAUGGUGGGGGUUGGAAAGUUUCGGCGGUUGGGGAUGGACUCGCGGCUUAUCAGCUUGUUGGUGGGGUAGUGGCUUACCAAGGCUUUGACGGGUAGCCGGCCUGAGAGGGUGACCGGCCACAUUGGGACUGAGAUACGGCCCAG
rnacentral:rRNA from 1 species